rnacentral:rRNA from 1 species
AUUGAACGCUGGCGGCAGGCCUAACACGUGCAAGUCGAGCGGAUGAAGGGAGCUUGCUCCUGGAUUCAGCGGCGGACGGGUGAGUAAUGCCUAGGAAUCUGCCUGGUAGUGGGGGAUAACGUCCGGAAACGGGCGCUAAUACCGCAUACGUCCUGAGGGAGAAAGUGGGGGAUCUUCGGACCUCACGCUAUCAGAUGAGCCUAGGUUGGAUUAGCUAGUUGGUGGGGUAAAGGCCUACCAAGGCGACGAUCCGUAACUGGUCUGAGGAUGAUCAGUCACACUGGAACUGAGACACGGUCCAGACUCCUACGGGAGGCAGCAGUGGGGAAUAUUGGACAAUGGGCGAAAGCCUGAUCCAGCCAUGCCGCGUGUGUGAAGAAGGUCUUCGGAUUGUAAAGCACUUUAAGUUGGGAGGAAGGGCAGUAAGUUAAUACCUUGCUGUUUUGACGUUACCAACAGAAUAAGCACCGGCUAACUUCGUG